rnacentral:rRNA from 1 species
AGCCGCCGCGGUAACACCGGCAGCUCUAGUGGUAACAAUUUUAUUGGGCCUAAAGCGUCCGUAGCCGGUUUAAUAAGUCUCUGGUGAAAUCCUGUAGCUUAACUGUGGGAAUUGCUGGAGAUACUAUUAGACUUGAGACCGGGAGAGGUUAGAGGUACUCCCAGGGUAGAGGUGAAAUUCUGUAAUCCUGGGAGGACCGCCUGUUGCGAAGGCGUCUAACUGGAACGGUUCUGACGGUGAGGGACGAAAGUUAGGGGCGCGAACCGGAUUAGAUACCCGGGUAGUCCUAACUGUAAACGAUGCGGACUUGGUGUUGGGUGGCUUUGAGCUGCUCCAGUGCCGAAGGGAAGCUGUUAAGUCCGCCGCCUGGGAAGUACGGUCGCAAGACUGAAACUUAAGGAAUUGGCGGGGGAGCACCACAACGCGUGGAGCCUGCCGGUUUAAUUGGAUUCAACGCCGGACAUCUCACCAGAGGCGACAGCUGUAUGAUAGCCAGGUUGAUGACUUUGCUUGACUAGCUGAGUGGAGGUGCAUGG